UACGGGGGGGGCAAGCGUUGUUCGGAAUUACUGGGCGUAAAGGGCUCGUAGGUGGCCAACUAAGUCAGACGUGAAAUCCCUCAGCUUAACUGGGGAACUGCGUCUGAUACUGGAUGGCUUGAGUUUGGGAGAGGGAUGCGGAAUUCCAGGUGUAGCGGUGAAAUGCGUAGAUAUCUGGAGGAACACCGGUGGCGAAGGCGGCAUCCUGGACCAACACUGGCACUGAGGCGCGAAAGCGUGGGGAGCAAACAGG
rnacentral:rRNA from 1 species